rnacentral:rRNA from 1 species
AUUGAACGCUGGCGGCAGGCUUAACACAUGCAAGUCGAGCGGUAACACUUCGGGUGACGAGCGGCGGACGGGUGAGUAAUACAUAGGAAUCUGCCUAGUAGUGGGGGAUAACGUAGGGAAACUUACGCUAAUACCGCAUACAUCCUACGGGGGAAAGCAGGGGAUCUUCGGACCUUGCGCUAUUAGAUGAGCCUAUGUCGGAUUAGCUAGUUGGUGAGGUAAAGGCUCACCAAGGCGACGAUCCGUAGCUGGUCUGAGAGGAUGAUCAGCCACACUGGGACUGAGACACGGCCCAGACUCCUACGGGGGAGCAGCAGGUAGGGAAUUAGUUGGAACAAGU